AACGGGUGAGUAACACGUGAGCAACCUGCCCCGAAGACCGGGAUAACAGUGGGAAACCGCUGCUAAUACCGGAUGCCCUUCUAUGGUCGCAUGGCCUAAGAAGGAAACGAAUUUCGCUUCGGGAGGGGCGUCGCGGGCUAUCAGCUUGUUGGUGAGGUAACGGCCCACCAAGGCUACGACGGCUAGCUGGUCUGAGAGGACGACCAGCCACACUGGGACUGAGACACGGCCCAG
rnacentral:rRNA from 1 species